rnacentral:rRNA from 1 species
UUGCACGCUGGCGGCAGGCCUAACACAUGCAAGUCGCACGGUAACAGGAAGAAGCUUGCUUCUUUGCUGACGAGUGGCGGACGGGUGAGUAAUGUCUGGGAAACUGCCUGAUGGAGGGGGAUAACUACUGGAAACGGUAGCUAAUACCGCAUAACGUCGCAAGACCAAAGAGGGGGACCUUCGGGCCUCUUGCCAUCGGAUGUGCCCAGAUGGGAUUAGCUAGUAGGUGGGGUAACGGCUCACCUAGGCGACGAUCCCUAGCUGGUCUGAGAGGAUGACCAGCCACACUGGAACUGAGACACGGUCCAGACUCCUACGGGAGGCAGCAGUGGGGAAUAUUGCACAAUGGGCGCAAGCCUGAUGCAGCCAUGCCGCGUGUAUGAAGAAGGCCUUCGGGUUGUAAAGUACUUUCAGCGGGGAGGAAGGGAGUAAAGUUAAUACCUUUGCUCAUAGACGUUACCCGCAGAAGAAGCACCGGCUAACUCCGUG